GAUGAAGAACGUAGCGAAAUGCGAUAAGUAAUGUGAAUUGCAGAAUUCAGUGAAUCAUCGAAUCUUUGAACGCACAUUGCGCCUGCUAGUAUUCUGGCGGGCAUGCCUGUUCGAGCGUCAUUUCAACCAUCAAGCCCUAGGCUUGCGUUGGAGCCCUGCGGCUGCCGCAGGCUCCCAAAUCCAGUGGCGGGCUCGUCGUCGUACCGAGUGCAGUAAACAUCCUCGCUCAGGGAACGUGACGGGUUCUUGCCGUGAAACCCCCCACAUAUCAAGGUUGACCUCGGAUCAGGUAGGAAUACCCGCUGAACUUAAGCAUAUCAAUAAGCGGAGGA
rnacentral:misc_RNA from 1 species